rnacentral:rRNA from 1 species
UUAACACAUGCAAGUCGAGGGGCAGCAUGGUCUUUUCUUGCUAAGGCCGAUGGCGACCGGCGCACGGGUGAGUAACACGUAUCCAACCUGCCGUCUACUCUUGGACAGCCUUCUGAAAGGAAGAUUAAUACAAGAUGGCAUCAUGAGUCCGCAUGUUCACAUGAUUAAAGGUAUUCCGGUAGACGAUGGGGAUGCGUUCCAUUAGAUAGUAGGCGGGGUAACGGCCCACCUAGUCUUCGAUGGAUAGGGGUUCUGAGAGGAAGGUCCCCCACAUUGGAACUGAGACACGGACCAAACUCCUACGGGAGGCAGCAGUGAGGAAUAUUGGUCAAUGGGCGAGAGCCUGAACCAGCCAAGUACCGUGAAGGAUGACUGCCCUAUGGGUUGUAAACUUCUUUUAUAAAAGAAUAAAGUCGGGUAUGGAUACCCGUUUGCAUGUACUUUAUGAAUAAGGAUCGGCUAACUCCGUGCCAGCAGCCGCGGUAAUACGGAGGAUCCGAGCGUUAUCCGGAUUUAUUGGGUUUAAAGGGAGCGUAGAUGGAUGUUUAAGUCAGUUGUGAAACUUUGCGGCUCAACCGUAAAAUUGCAGUUGAUACUGGAUAUCUUGAGUGCAGUUGAGGCAGGCGGAAUUCGUGGUGUAGCGGUGAAAUGCUUAGAUAUCACGAAGAACUCCGAUUGCGAAGGCAGCCUGCUAAGCUGCAACUGACAUUGAGGCUCGAAAGUGUGGGUAUCAAACAGGAUUAGAUACCCUGGUAGUCCACACGGUAAACGAUGAAUACUCGCUGUUUGCGAUAUACUGCAAGCGGCCAAGCGAAAGCGUUAAGUAUUCCACCUGGGGAGUACGCCGGCAACGGUGAAACUCAAAGGAAUUGACGGGGGCCCGCACAAGCGGAGGAACAUGUGGUUUAAUUCGAUGAUACGCGAGGAACCUUACCCGGGCUUAAAUUGCAGAUGAAUUACGGUGAAAGCCGUAAGCCGCAAGGCAUCUGUGAAGGUGCUGCAUGGUUGUCGUCAGCUCGUGCCGUGAGGUGUCGGCUUAAGUGCCAUAACGAGCGCAACCCUUGUUGUCAGUUACUAACAGGUUCCGCUGAGGACUCUGACAAGACUGCCAUCGUAAGAUGUGAGGAAGGUGGGGAUGACGUCAAAUCAGCACGGCCCUUACGUCCGGGGCUACACACGUGUUACAAUGGGGGGUACAGAGGGCCGCUACCACGCGAGUGGAUGCCAAUCCCCAAAACCUCUCUCAGUUCGGACUGGAGUCUGCAACCCGACUCCACGAAGCUGGAUUCGCUAGUAAUCGCGCAUCAGCCACGGCGCGGUGAAUACGUUCCCGGGCCUUGUACACACCGCCCGUCAAGCCAUGGGAGCCGGGGGUACCUGAAGUGCGUAACCGCGAGGAGCGCCCUAGGGUAAAACUGGUGACUGGGGCUAAAU